UUAAUUGGAUUACUUUUACUUCGUUAUGCUUUUCAUAGUAACAUCUAAUAACUUAAAUUCAACUUGGAUUCAUAUCCUAUUAUAACUCCUGUGCAAGUCACACAAUAAAUUAAUGUCUCAUGAUUCUUAUAAGCAGUAAAACAUUCUAUUAUUUGCUACAGAUGAUGGCCACUAAUUGUAUUGUACAAUAUAGUGAAUUCACAAAAGUAUCAAUGUUUUUAUUAUUGCAAAAAUUAGUAUGACAGAAAAUAAAAUUCGCAUUUUAAAAUUUGAUAGUAAAAUAAAAAACAGUAUUAGAAUAUAUCAAUGGAGUGUUGUAUUACUUUUAAAUUCCCUACAAAAGCUGUACUUUACAAUUUGGAUUAGUUUUUUCUCUCUUUCAAAUUGACAAAUUUUAACUUAAAUAGGUUUUAACCAUACAGACAAAGAGACAUUAUAAACAUGUUAAGUGAACUGCAUCUGAUGUAACAAAUUAGCACUAACCACUUACAGCCACAACAAAACUUUGUUUAUAUAUCAACAAUUUGUAAUUUUUCUUAUCAGUACAAAAUGGAUAAGGAUCUUAGAAUUGUUAAACAAAGUUAUAAAGUUUGUCAAUGUGCACAAGCUUGCGUUCCCAAUCAUGGAUAUCUAAACAAUUACACUUCCUACAUAAAUAUUAAUCUUUUUUUCAUCAUAUUUUGUAACAUAAAAUAUCAAUAUAAGGAGAUAAGUUAUAAUAACUAGUGAAACAACUUUCCAUCAAAUUAAAAAAAAAAGAGAAUAAACUGAACCUCUAAAUCCCAGAUUGUUCACUUAAAUACAAACUAUUUUUCUAUUGAGUGAAUUUCUUGAGAAAUGAGAUUUUAUACUGAAAACAGCAAUUGUUCAAAACAAAUUUAGCUUACAGAGAACAUGAUCUUAAAAAAUCACAGGAUAUUUAUGGAAAUUGCCAGUGUAAAUGAGUUGAUACAAAUUGAUUAUACAGGUUUAUUUACUUGGGCAAUAAGAUGAAUGAACAACAAACAACAGAUCAAUGCAUUAACAAGAAAACAAGACAAAAAUGUGCAUGUGGAGCAACACACAAUGUCAGGUUAAUUCAUUAAGAAGAACCCUGGAAAAGUUUCCUUUGUAUAAAUAAUGUGAAGGUAGUAAUAUUGUCCUUUGAUUCUAGAUAUCAGAUCAAGUAAGACAUUUAGGUAACAUCAUGAUAUGGAACACAGCUUUGUAUUUGACCAUUGCACAAUGUUUGAUGAGGUCUAUAUCACACAAGCUUGGAUUGGAUGAGGUCUAUAUCACACAAGCUUGGAUUGAUCUACCACCAGCACCAUCUAUUUCCACUAACUGUAAGUCUCUAUCAUCCUUUAAUCACAGCAAUCGGCCGAAGUUUGAUGGCUUUCUGACUUAUGCCUGCUGCCUGACCUAUAACA
rnacentral:lncRNA from 1 species